rnacentral:rRNA from 1 species
GACGAACGCUGGCGGCGUGCCUAAUACAUGCAAGUAGAACGCAGUUGCGAACGGGUGAGUAACGCGUAGGUCACUGCCUGGUAGCGGGGGAUAACUCUUGGAAACGAUAGCUAAUACCGCAUACUACCAGAUGGACCUGCGUUGUAUUAGCUAGUUGGUGGGGUAACGGCUCACCAAGGCAACGAUACAUAGCCGACCGGGGAGGGUGAUCGGCACCACUGGGGCUGGAGCACGGGCCAGACGCCUACGGGAGGCAGCAGUAGGGGAUCUUCGGCAAUGGGGGGAACCCUGGCCGAGCAACGGCGCGGGAGUGAAGAAGGUUUUCGGGUCGUAAAGCUCGGUUGUUAAGGAAGCGGUACUUAACCAGAAAGGGACGGCUAACUACGUGCCAGCAGCCGCGGUAAUAC